CUUUUUUUCCAUUCCUGAAAGCCCUGAUACAAAGUUGUAUGUUCUAGUUGCAAGUCCUUCUGGUUCUCCUAUGUCAGCUGCCACCAUAGCAUGGCCACUGACAGAUGAGUAGUGUGGUUUGACCCCCAGGCACUGAACCAGGGCUGCUGAAGCAGAGCGUGCUGAAAUUUAACCACUAGGCCAUCAGGGCUGGCUCUCUGCCCAUCUUUUAAGUGAGUAGUUUGGUGUUCUGCUGUUGAGUUGUAAGAGUGCUGGAUCCUACACUUUUAUCAGAUCUGUGAAUUGCAAAUAUUUUCUCCCAUUAAGUAGGUUGGCUUUUUACUUUCUCAGUAGUGUCAAUCGAAGAACAAAAUUUUGUCAUUUUGAUGAAGUCCAACUUAUUCAAUUUUCCUCCAUCCAAAUGCUGGACAGUCAGGUCGUGGGGUGGGGUGGGGUGAAGCCUGAGUGCAGGUGGUCCCAUAUCCGUGAUGCAGGAGGGCCUGGAGGACCAAUGUCCAGAUCCCACUUGGAGUGGAAGGACACAGGAUUGCCAUGCAGCAGGUGGAUCUGUUCUUGUCCCAAGUUCCUGCAGGGAGAUCAAGGCCCAUGACAGAAGUUGUUCUGGUGGCCAUCGGGGAAGCAGCUGUGAAGAUCCUGCUCCUCCUCCUCUGCCUCAUCUUCCUCAUAAUGAGGUCCUACAGGAGGAAAGUGAUGAGGCCUGCAGGGGGCAUGGAGGAUGCAAACACCACCCCGGAUUAAUCCCUCAGCUCAUGUUGCUGCCUGUCGUCUCCUCAUCCUGACGCUGGUCGUUCCUGGGGGCUCAUCUCUUCCCUGGGUCUCUGAACUCACCUCACCUCCUGCUUCCAUCUCUCUCCUCAACUCUGGCCUCCAGAUUGUUUCCAGAGACCAUCAUCCAUGUCCUGCACAGUAUGAACAGCUACGUGUCCUCUCCAUGGCCAGAGACUGAGCUGAAAACACCACAGGCUGAAUUUGAAGGCCUGGCCUGAUCCGUCUCCGCUGGACUCUCCCCCAGAUUCCUCCCUCUCUCUGCAUCUGUCAAUGUCUCCUCUCCCAGCUGGGCCAUGGCCUCUGUGACUCUGAGACUUUGUAUGUGUAGUUCCUUCUCCUGAAAUGCCCUUCCUUCCUCAUUCCUACCUCUCCAAGUCAUGCUCAUCCCUCAGGCUCAUUCUUAAAUGCCACCCAGUGUGUGUGCGUGCAUGUGUUUGUCAUUGUAUAGUUCUAAGCAGAGUAACAUUCAGUCAUUUAUGCAUAGACCCAUUUAACAAUUGUCAUUGCAUACAUAUGACAUACCAGCAUUGUGCAUCAGUGACACAACUUCAAAACUCACUGUCAUGCAAAGGAUUUGAAGAUACACUUCUGCGAAGAAGACACACAAAUGACCAAGGAGCACAUGAAAAGAUGAUCAGCAUCAUCGGUCGUUAGAGAAAUGCAAGUCAAAACUACAAUGAAAUACGACUUUACACCCAUUAGGACAGCUUUAUAUAUUUUUUUUAAAAAAACACAUAGUAACAAGUAUUGGCAAAGGUGUGAACGAAUUAGAACCCAUGGGCAUUGCCUGUGAGAAUGAGAAGUGGUGCAGCCUAGUGGAAAACCCUUUGGAAUCUCUUUCAAAAGUUAAACAUAGAAUCGCCCUAUGACCCAGCGCUGCCACUUCUAGAUAUGUACUCGAAGGACUUGAACGUAUGCAUUUAAUGGAUGCUUGUACACCAGUGUUCAUAGCAGAAUUAUUCACAGUAGCUGUGGAACCAAUGCUGGUGCCCAUCAACAGAAUAAUGGAUGAACCAAAUAUGGCACAUGCAUACAAUGGAAUAUCAUUCAGCCUUGAAGAGGAAUAAGUGAAAUUCUGGCACAUGCUACCUCAUGGAUGAACCUUGAAAACAAUAUGAUAAAUGGAAGGAGACAGACACAAAAGGGCAAAUAUUGCGUGAUUCUGCUUCUAUGAGCUGCCUAUGAAGACAAAUUCAUAGAAACAGAAAGAAUAAUGGUGGCUGCUCGCAACCAAGGGGCGGGGGAUGGGGAGUCAUUGUGUAACUGUGCAGAGUUACUGUUUGGGAUGACGGAAAUGUUCAGGAAAUACACAGAGGUGAUGGUUGCACAACAUUGUGAGUGCAUCUGGUGUCACUGAAUUGUGCCCUG